rnacentral:misc_RNA from 1 species
AAGCUAAUCAACUAUGCAUUUGGUGCAAUGCCAAAACCGCACUGCAAUAGUUUGCUCGGGAAUUCCUUAAUUCUUGAGGCAAAAUUUUCAGUACAACACCUUCUCUUGAUUAUUACCUUUCUUUUAUUCAUACAACAACAGAGCUUGCUAAAGAGAGUUCAUGCAACUCACCGAGCAUCCAGUCUUCCCCAGUUUGACCUCCGAUGACUAUUGCUCUAGUUCCGCCAACAACACAUGUAUUAUGUCCCCAAGCAAUACUUGGAGCCCGACCAGUCACAUUCAAUAUCCUCCAUGUUGGCUUCUCUUCAGUUGGAUCCAAAAUGUAGAGCUGUGAUCCUGAGUGGAGACCAGAAGUAAUGGACCCACCAAAGACCAGAACUCUGCCACCAGGGAGACUUAAUGCCACAUGAUCAAGCCUUGGGGAAGGAGCAAGACCUCCAGGAUUUCCCGCACCAGGCAUUCCACUUCCUGUAACACAUCUCCAGCAGGGUUCUUCCUCACUCAGAUCCAAGGUAAACACAUCACUUGAUCGAAAACGCACAGGACCACUCUUGGCAAGACCCCCAAACAUAAGAAUUUUCCUGCCUCCAUAAACAGACAGCGUGUGGCCCAAACGAGAAGGUGGAGUCCACGUCACUGCUAUUUCACGCCACACAGGCUUCUCUAUAGACAGAUCAAGCAGGAAAGUAUCACUGAGAAGUACACCAGAAUCUGUACAACCACCAGAGACUAUCAACUUGGUCCCAUCCAAAGUACAGGAGCUGUGCCAAGAUCUUGGAAGCGGAGGCGCCAAGCUAGAGAUUUCACGCCAUGUUGGUUGUUUGGCAUCCAAAUCCAGCACAAAGACGUCAUUCAAGAGACCCUGCCUUCCAUAUCCACCAAACACAACAAGAUGAGAUCCAUUCACACAAGAGAGUGUGUGCCCCCAACGUCCAGGAGGAGGAGAACUAACUUUGACAUGUUUCCACUCUGGAUUGCUGGAAUUCAAGUCUAAUACAAAAGUAUCAUUCAUCGGUUGCAUGUUUACCCCCUCUCCACCAAAGAGUACAACACGGUUCCCUACUGCACAUGCACUGAAGUUGCAACGAGAAGGUUCAACAGUACCUCCAACAGUUAGC